rnacentral:rRNA from 1 species
GACGAACGCUGGCGGCGCGCUUAACACAUGCAAGUCGAGCGAGAUCCAGGCCUUCGGGCCUGGGGACAGCGGCGAACGGGUGAGUAACACGUGGGUAAUCAACCCUCGACACUGGGAUAGCCCGGGGAAACCCGGAUUAAUACCGGAUGGCCCUUUGGAUCUUCGGAUCUGACGGGAAAGGUAGCUUCGGCCUCCGGUCGAGGACGAGCCCGCGGCGGAUUAGCGUGUUGGUGGGGUAACGGCUCACCAAGGCGACGAUCCGUAGCUGGGCGGAGAGGACGAUCAGCCAGACUGGGACUGAGACACGGCCCGGACUCCGCCGGGGGGCAGCAGUGGGGAAGCUUGCGCUAAUGCGGGCAACCGUGACGCAGCGACGCCGCGUGAGGGAAGAGGGCCUUCGGGUUGUAAACCUCUUUCAGGAGGGACGAAGCCACUCGGGUGAAUAGCCCAGAGGGUGACGGUACCUCCAGAAGAAGCCCCGGCUAACUACGUGCCAGCCGCCGCCGUAAGAC